UUGAAGAGUUUGAUCAUGGCUCAGAUUGAACGCUGGCGGCAGGCCUAACACAUGCAAGUCGAGCGGUAGCACAGAGAGCUUGCUCUCGGGUGACGAGCGGCGGACGGGUGAGUAAUGUCUGGGAAACUGCCUGAUGGAGGGGGAUAACUACUGGAAACGGUAGCUAAUACCGCAUAACGUCGCAAGACCAAAGUGGGGGACCUUCGGGCCUCAUGCCAUCAGAUGUGCCCAGAUGGGAUUAGCUAGUAGGUGGGGUAACGGCUCACCUAGGCGACGAUCCCUAGCUGGUCUGAGAGGAUGACCAGCCACACUGGAACUGAGACACGGUCCAGACUCCUACGGGAGGCAGCAGUGGGGAAUAUUGCACAAUGGGCGCAAGCCUGAUGCAGCCAUGCCGCGUGUGUGAAGAAGGCCUUCGGGUUGUAAAGCACUUUCAGCGGGGAGGAAGGCGGUGAGGUUAAUAACCUCAUCGAUUGACGUUACCCGCAGAAGAAGCACCGGCUAACUCCGUGCCAGCAGCCGCGGUAAUACGGAGGGUGCAAGCGUUAAUCGGAAUUACUGGGCGUAAAGCGCACGCAGGCGGUCUGUCAAGUCGGAUGUGAAAUCCCCGGGCUCAACCUGGGAACUGCAUUCGAAACUGGCAGGCUAGAGUCUUGUAGAGGGGGGUAGAAUUCCAGGUGUAGCGGUGAAAUGCGUAGAGAUCUGGAGGAAUACCGGUGGCGAAGGCGGCCCCCUGGACAAAGACUGACGCUCAGGUGCGAAAGCGUGGGGAGCAAACAGGAUUAGAUACCCUGGUAGUCCACGCCGUAAACGAUGUCGAUUUGGAGGUUGUGCCCUUGAGGCGUGGCUUCCGGAGCUAACGCGUUAAAUCGACCGCCUGGGGAGUACGGCCGCAAGGUUAAAACUCAAAUGAAUUGACGGGGGCCCGCACAAGCGGUGGAGCAUGUGGUUUAAUUCGAUGCAACGCGAAGAACCUUACCUGGUCUUGACAUCCACAGAACUUUCCAGAGAUGGAUUGGUGCCUUCGGGAACUGUGAGACAGGUGCUGCAUGGCUGUCGUCAGCUCGUGUUGUGAAAUGUUGGGUUAAGUCCCGCAACGAGCGCAACCCUUAUCCUUUGUUGCCAGCGGUCCGGCCGGGAACUCAAAGGAGACUGCCAGUGAUAAACUGGAGGAAGGUGGGGAUGACGUCAAGUCAUCAUGGCCCUUACGACCAGGGCUACACACGUGCUACAAUGGCAUAUACAAAGAGAAGCGACCUCGCGAGAGCAAGCGGACCUCAUAAAGUAUGUCGUAGUCCGGAUUGGAGUCUGCAACUCGACUCCAUGAAGUCGGAAUCGCUAGUAAUCGUAGAUCAGAAUGCUACGGUGAAUACGUUCCCGGGCCUUGUACACACCGCCCGUCACACCAUGGGAGUGGGUUGCAAAAGAAGUAGGUAGCUUAACCUUCGGGAGGGCGCUUACCACUUUGUGAUUCAUGACUGGGGUGAAGUCGUAACAAGGUAACCGUAGGGGAACCUGCGGUUGGAUCACCUCCUU
rnacentral:rRNA from 2 species